rnacentral:rRNA from 1 species
CCUACGGGUGGCUGCAGUGGGGAAUAUUGCACAAUGGGCGCAAGCCUGAUGCAGCCAUGCCGCGUGUGUGAAGAAGGCCUUCGGGUUGUAAAGCACUUUCAGCGGGGAGGAAGGCGUUAAGGUUAAUAACCUUGGCGAUUGACGUUACCCGCAGAAGAAGCACCGGCUAACUCCGUGCCAGCAGCCGCGGUAAUACGGAGGGUGCAAGCGUUAAUCGGAAUUACUGGGCGUAAAGCGCACGCAGGCGGUCUGUCAAGUCGGAUGUGAAAUCCCCGGGCUCAACCUGGGAACUGCAUUCGAAACUGGCAGGCUAGAGGCUUGUAGAGGGGGGUAGAAUGCCAGGUGUAGCGGUGAAAUGCGUAGAGAUCUGGAGGAAUACCGGUGGCGAAGGCGGCCCCCUGGACAAAGACUGACGCUCAGGUGCGAAAGCGUGGGGAGCAAACAGGAUUAGAUACCCGAGUAGUC